rnacentral:tmRNA from 1 species
GGGGCUGAUUUAGGAUUCGACAGGAAUUUUGCAGUCUAAGGUGCAUGCCGUGGGGCGGUUGGCCACGUAAAAAGCCGCAAAAAAAUAGUCGCAAACGACGACUUUAUCGGUUCAGAACGCCUAGCGGCGUAAUUCUAGUCUAAACCACUAGCUGACCUCUCUCGCCCUAGCUUCCGCACGUAAGACGGGGAACAACGAGGGAUCAAACCCAAACGCGCUAGCCCGGAUUCUCCCGCCUGAGAGAUGAACGGCGAAAUUUAAUUCAGGCUAGUCAUUCGUUCGCGUGUCGGUUCGCAGGUGGGUGGCGAAAUUAAAGAUCGACUAAGCAUGUAGUACCGAAGAUGAAUGGUUUUUGGACGCGGGUUCAACUCCCGCCAGCUCCACCA